rnacentral:rRNA from 1 species
AACGAACGCUGGCGGCAGGCUUAACACAUGCAAGUCGAACGCCCCGCAAGGGGAGUGGCAGACGGGUGAGUAACACGUGGGAACAUGCCCAAAGGUACGGAAUAUUCUCGGGAAACUGAGAGCAAUACCGUAUGUGCCCGAAAGGGGAAAGAUUUAUCGCCUUUGGAUUGGCCCGCGUCGGAUUAGCUAGUUGGUGGGGUAAAAGCCUACCAAGGCGACGAUCCGUAGCUGGUCUGAGAGGACGACCGGCCACACUGGGACUGAGACACGGCCCAGACUCCUACGGGAGGCAGCAGUGGGGAAUCUUGGACAAUGGGCGCAAGCCUGAUCCAGCCAUGCCGCGUGGAUGAUGAAGGCCCUAGGGUUGUAAAAUCCUUUCGUUGGGGACGAUAAUGACGGUACCCAAAGAAGAAGCUCCGGCUAACUUCGUG